GAUCCUGGCUCAGGAUGAACGCUGGCGGCAUGCCUAAGACAUGCAAGUCGAACGAGACGGCCCAAUGAAGAUUGCGUGCUUGCACAAAAUCGGAUUUGGAUUCCCGUCUAGUGGCGCAAGGGUGAGUAACACGUGGGUAAUCUACCUUCGAGUCUGGAAUAACAGUUAGAAAUGAUUGCUAAUGCCGGAUUAUAUAUAAAAUGAUACGUCAUUAUAUAUUAAAAGGAGCCUUAAAG
rnacentral:rRNA from 1 species